GACGAACGCUGGCGGCGUGCUUAACACAUGCAAGUCGAACGGAAAGGCCCCUUUGGGGGUACUCGAGUGGCGAACGGGUGAGUAACACGUGAGUAACCUGCCCUUGACUUCGGGAUAACUUCAGGAAACUGGGGCUAAUACCGGAUAGGAAUCCUUGCUGCAUGGUGGGGGUUGGAAAGCUUCGGCGGUUUUGGAUGGACUCGCGGCUUAUCAGCUUGUUGGUGGGGUAGUGGCUUACCAAGGCUUUGACGGGUAGCCGGCCUGAGAGGGCGACCGGCCACAUUGGGACUGAGAUACGGCCCAGACUCCUACGGGAGGCUGCAGUGGGGAAUAUUGCACAAUGGGCGGAAGCCUGAUGCAGCAACGCCGCGUGCGGGAGGACGGCCUUCGGGUUGUAAACCGCUUUCAGCAGGGGCGAAGCUUGUGGUGACGGUACCUGCAGAAGAAGCACCGGCUAACUACGUG
rnacentral:rRNA from 1 species